CUUGUUGCCCGAUGAGACGCAGCCGUGGCUGCGAUGCUGCGGCUGUGCUGUAUGCAGGCAGACAGAAACUGGCUCGUGAUCAACCCUGUCCCUGCACAUGGGCUAGGGGAAUGGAACUGGGCCAGAUAAC